UUAUUAAUUAUAAAUUAAGUUUUUAGAUAAUUUUUUUAGAUCGUUGAGAUCUGUGUUGUAUUUUUAGCUUUUGGGUGGAUUUCACAUGUAAGUUUAGGCGGAAAGUUAUUUUUAGUAGAACUAAAAAAGAAAUUCUCAGUGAAAAGUAUUAGAAAUAUAAAAAUUUUAUAUCUAGGUAAUUAAAAAGAAGUGGAAAAUGGCGUGCCAGCAGCCGCGGUUAUACUCCUGCUUCAAGUUAAAAAUGGUAUACAAAAUUGUGUAUUAUAUUUUUUUGAAUUUUUUUAAAAUUGUAAGGUAGAAUUUCAAUUUUUAGAUAAGACAUAAAAAUAAUACAUAUUAAAUAUGUUAUGGACCAGGAUUAGAUACCCUGUUACUCAUAAAUAGAAAAUUUUGGAUUAGUAGUAGUUAUGAAAUUUAACGGAUUUGGCGGCAAGAUAGCCAUUUAGAGGAACCUGCCCUAUAAACGAUGGACCACGAAAUCCUUACUUUUACUUGUUAUUUAGUUUGUAUACCGCUGUUGUCAGUUAGUUUUUUUAGAAAUCUUUCUUUCAUGAUAAAAUCAAAGACUUCAAGUAAAGGUGCAGCUGAUGUAAAAGAUAGAGGUGGGUUACAUUUAAAAGAAUAAUACGAAUAAAGUUUUUGAAAUAUCUUUUGAAGGUGGAUUUAAAUGUAAAGUUUAUAAAAACUUGAUGAAGGCUCUAUCUUGUGUACACACCGCCCGUCGCUCUCCUUUUUAAACGAGAUAAGUCGUAACAAGGUAAGUGUAAUGGAAAUUGUACUUGA
rnacentral:ncRNA from 1 species